UGAUCCAUUGGUGAGCAAGUGAUGUAAUGCUAAAUUUAUCCUAAUCUGUUCUGAUAAAGAAACAAACUCAUCUGUGAGUAAAUCUUAAGUAAAUUUUCAUUUUUGGGCAAGCUAUUCCUUUAUUAUCAAUUCAUUAUGUAAUACAGAGGGUUACUGAACUCAUGCUUUUUGGCUUCAGUUCUGCAUUUAGUUUUUGAAUACUCAUUUUUGUGUGUGUUGAGAUCUAUUAAUUUAUUCAUGAAAUAAUUAGAAUUUGCACAUGAUUUUAAAACUAAAUUUUUAAACACAAAGUGUUUUGUUGUAUUUUACAUUUUUAUCAUCUUGUAUGUCUUAAUGUGUUACUGACCCUCAUACACGUAUACAUGAAUUUUUGAAAAUACAUGUAUUUUUACACUGGUGCCUGUUUACGUGUUUGUGAGCAUAAAACACCAAAAAUGUGCUUGAUAUAUGUUUUUGGAGCACUAGCCAUAACAAGUGGAGUUUUUAGCCAAGACAGGACAAACUUACAGCCAGAGAAUCGAGGUAAGGUUUAUUUGUUCAGAAAACAUACUCUUACUGUCUCAUGCACAGACACCUCUACACACACACACACACACACACACACACACACACACACACACACACACACACACACACACACACACACACACACACACACACAAACAAACACACACAUACAGAGUGUUGGAUCUGUCCAAGCCUGUCUCUUUUCCUCCUCACCUCCCUCAAUAGACCUGUUUGUAGCUGUGGGUUCAUCUGUGAAGAUACCAUGCACUGACGGAGAAGAAAAAGGGGUGAGAUUCAACAGUUCAGUGCUUGUCUCAAGCCCUGUUCUCUCCAUACAGAACACCAGUUUGAAGGACCAAGGCAUCUACACCUGCCACCAACCGAAUGGAGAUAUGAUACAAACAGUAUCUCUACACCUGGGAUAUCCCCCCUCUCAUCCCGGAUGUGCAUUGUUGGUCUCCAAGUCACCCUAAAAAAGCAAUAUGCUCUUGGACGCUGACUCCAGACCCAAUACUUCCAACACAUUAUAUUGCUACAUACAGGAGCUUUUCAGACCCGCUAGCAAGUUCCCAUCAAUGCCAGAAAUGGGGAGAACAAGACAGGCAAUGUGCGCUAGAGGAACUGGAGAUUUUUGCAGUGAAACCUGAUCCUCCGGUGAAUGUGAGCGUGAUGGUAAUGCCAGGCAGGAAGAGGUCCACCACCCACUUGGCCAGAUCCUGUCAACUUUCUCCUUAAAUACACAGUGAAAUUCCACUGGGGCAAACCUGAGACAGCAAGAACCCUGGGUCCUUAUGGGUCUAAUAAAAUGGUUUUGAGUGAACUGGUGGCAGAAAAGACUUACUACAGUACAUCCAAAUAUCAUCCCUGGAUGACAGAGCAGUGAGUGGAGUGCACCGUUAAGUGCCACCAUGCCUGUCAUCCGAUGUGGUGAAUCAUUACAUUACACUACAUUAACCAGAAGUGUUAGAAUUGCAGUGUUUAUUGUGUCACCAAAGGAUAACUUUGUUUGACAGGCUCAAUGUGCAGAAUCUACUAAAUUAAAAAAAAUAAUACACACCCAGCAUGGCUCCACUUGCAUGUAAUCACAAAGUUUGUAAGCAUGUUAAAAAACAUUUUUUUUAUUUAGUCUUUAUUAUCUAACUGAUUUUAACUGGUUUUGAAAUAAAUAAAUAAUAAAUAUCAUAAAUAAGUAAAAAUCACACAUUUUCAA